GGAGGGCUGGCCGAGCCAGGCAAGGCACCGGGCUGCUAACCCGUGGUCCGGGACCGAACAUCCCGGCGCGCGUUCGAAUCGCGCGCCCUCCG
rnacentral:tRNA from 1 species